UAGGGAAUAUUAGAAAUGGACGAAAGUCUGAUCUAGCAACACCGCGUGUGCGAGGAAGGCCUUUGGGUCGUAAAGCACUUUUUGGAAGGAAUAGGAAGGAAUGUACUUCCAGAAUAAGUCUCGGCUAACUACGUGCCAGCAGCCGCGGUAACACGUAGGAGGCAAACGUUAUCCGGAUUUACUGGGCGUAAAGCGCGUGUAGGUGGUACUGUAAGUAGGGCGUGAAAGCUCCUGGCUCAACUGGGAGAGGCCGUUCUAAACUACAGAACUAGAGGAUGGUAGAGGGAGGUGGAAUUCCAGGUGUAGCGGUGGAAUGCGCAGAUAUCUGGAGGAACACCGGUGGCGAAGGCGGCCUCCUGGACCAUUCCUGACACUCAGACGCGAAAGCUAGAGUAGCAAACGG
rnacentral:rRNA from 1 species